UACGUAGGGGGCAAGCGUUGUCCGGAUUUAUUGGGCGUAAAGAGCGUGUAGGCGGCCAUACAGGUCAGCUGUGAAAACUCGAGGCUCAACCUCGAGACGUCGGUUGAAACCGUAUGGCUAGAGUCCGGAAGAGGAGAGUGGAAUUCCCGGUGUAGCGGUGAAAUGCGCAGAUAUCGGGAAGAACACCCGUGGCGAAGGCGGCUCUCUGGGACGGUACUGACGCUGAGACGCGAAGGCGUGGGGAGCGAACAGG
rnacentral:rRNA from 1 species